UUCGGGUCAGCUUAUACUCGAGUGUAUAUGGUAACUAGAACUGGAUGGCCACCUGUUGGGGAGGCUUGCAUUGUGUCUUCCUGCCUGGCAAGAGUGAGUGGGUUGGAAUGGAUGGCCAUUGGAGUCCCAACUCAAGCGUUCUGUUGUUGUUGUUAUUGUUAAGCAGAGUUGUAUGGCCACCUGUUAGGAAGGCUUGCAUUGUGUCUUCCUGCCUGGCAGGAAUGGGGUUGGACUGAAUGGUCAUUGAGGUCCCUUCUAUUAUUGUUGUUGUUAUUAUUGCUAUUAUUAAGUAGAACAGGAUGGCCAUCUGUCGGGAGGGCUUGGACAUGUGUUCCUGUCUGGCAGAAUUAGGGUUAGACUGGAUGGCCAUUGGAGUCCCUUCCAAUUCUAGAUUUCCAUUAUUGUUGUUGUUGUUGGGGAAAGGACAUUGGACCCGGCCCUGGUCUCACUCUAGGUAAGGUAAGGUAAAAAUUUAUAGAACUUUAUUACGCUCCAUGGACCCACAACUGUUAAAUAAAUAAUAAACAUACAGGAGUUUACAGGUGAGGUAAAGGUUUUCUCCUGACGUUAAGUCCAGUCGUGUCCGGCUCUGGGGGUUGGCGCUCAUCUCCAUUUCUAAGCCGAAGAGCUGGAUACUGCUUUGAUAGUCUUGGAUUUGAAAUCAAAUCUGAUGUUUUUAUUUUUUUAUUUUUAUUUGGUGUGCGAUGGAAGAGGGGUGGUCUUAUACGGCAAGUAUAUACCAAACUCUAUAUUUUAACUGGAAAAGUUGGGGGUCGUCUUAUAUGCCCAGUCAUCUUAUAUGCCGGAAUAUACGGUACAUUCUUUCUUUCUUUUUUUAUUCUUUUUUCAAAAACCUUAACAAAGGAACACUAUCUACAUAAGUGAAACCUGAGUCCAACUUAGAACAUUGUAGCUCAGCUUUCUGGCCAUUAUAGAGCUUGGAAUUCUGUACUGAACACACUACAACCAAUAGUUGUAGGGACUGGACAAUUCUCUGCUGGUCCCCUGUUCCCUGCAAGAUAGGAGUUCAGCGAGAUAAGGUAUAUUUGUAGAGAUUGUAGACAUAAGGGCAUUAUACAAUUGUUAUACAUCUCCUGCUCCAGAAUGUUGCCCAAUAUUUGCAGGUGUAACCUCACAUCAGUAAGACAUGUGUUUGAAACAUCUCACUACUGAUAUCAAAUUUCAACCUACAUUACAUUUUUCUCAUGGGCAGGUCAUUCACAGGCUUUCAGGUUGGUUGGUUUCUUUAAGCUGAGAUGUAGGAGGUUUCCUACAUAUCUUCAAAGAGAAAUACUUCACCUCAAGGAAAAUACUGAACCCCGAGAAUGGGUGUGGGGAUCAAGUUGAUAAUCAUAUUUGAGCCAUAAAAUUAUCUUACAUAUGUGCACAUUGCAUUUCCUGAUGUUACCCAGAUGUCCAAGACAGUAAUCAAUAUGCAAACAGAAUUUGAAAUGGAAUUGCAAAUGUACCCAUUGUCAAACAGAAAGUUCCAGUUUGUUCAUCCAGCAAACUAAAAAGUCAUCACUAUCCACUCUUCCCAACAGAGAACAGCAUGUACAUUGCCCUUCCUACUGAAUAUAUUAAGUAGUUACGCCCCUUUGGAAUACUGAUUUCAGGCAUAAGGUCAAAAAGAACACGGAAUUUCCAAACACAAGAACAUGUAGUAGUGAUCAGUACUCAUUUCUUCUGGUUAGUAAAGUAGUUUCAGUUUGGAUAUGGGAUCUUCAAUUGAAAAAUGGUAUCAGUAGCCAUCCUUAUUCUAGCACCAUAGAUCCUGAGGGCACCCCCAAAACCUUUGGCAGCACACCUUGACCAAUAUUAAGUGGAAGACCAUCCUGAGGGUUCUCCCUCCCAAACAUAAGAGUUUUUUUAAGAGUGAGAACCCCUCAUUGAAGUCUCAUGGGAAACCCUCCACUUACAGCCCCCCUGCGCUACAAAGUCUAAAGAGACUUUUAUGGAAGUCCACCCUUCACCCUCAAAAGUAGGUGCCAUGGUGCCUACCAGGCCUAUGUAACCUUUUACAUGCCACCAAAGGGGAAAGAUGUCUGCCUAGUCCCUUUUCCCCGCCAGACUAGCUACUAUCUUCUUGAUUUCCUCCUUGAAAUAAUCCAAGAACAACAUGUUCCCCUCAACUGAAAAUUGUACACCAUCAACCCAAAAAUGCUCCAGCCACCCAAACACAAAGCUCAUGUGAGGGAUUGCGCCAUCUCCUGUCUGCAGCAUGGCAUUCCUCAUUUCUUUGUUGAACUUACAUUGGGCCAAAUCCAUUUUUUAAGAAUCACAAUUCUCUAGCAACCUCAAGUGUGGUAGUAGCGAUGAACAGGCAAUCAAAAUUCCAGGCCAAUGUUGCCUAUAAUUUAAAUUUCUUUGUGCUUGCAAGAUCAAUGCCUGGCCUCCUAACAGACCCAAAUAAUUGUCCUCAAGAUGAACAAAUAAAACAUCAGGUGGAGCCCUCACCUCUCUUCAAACAGUAAAGGGAGUAAACUACUCUAUCUGAGGCCCCAUCUUCCCCAUCAUUCAGUUACAGUAUAACUUGGCUGCUCAAUUGUGUCUUGGGCUUGUCUUUCCACCCAAAAAAAUCAAACUGUGUCCACAGAUGAAGACUCAAGAUCAUGGCGAGCUGAACCUGUAAAUUAAGUAAACAAAGGUUUAUAAAACACUAAGUAGCAAUUGGGAAAGACCGCACAUAACACCAAAAGGCCACUGAAUGCCACCUUCCAAUGCACUGUAUGUCUAGGGAACUGGAUCCCAUAGCCACUGCUGUGGAGGCUGCCCCAACUCUGAAAAGUGUGUUCCAAAAUUGACCCCCUGCAAACAUAGUUUUUGCAAUUUGAUAGAUGUAAUCUUCCAAAAUUGGUAUAUUAUAAGAGGGAGGGAAUCUACAUGCCUGAAGAAGACACCUGGGUCCCUUCCCCUAGCCUCCAUAUAUCAUAUGAAAGCUUUAACAGAACAGAGUUCCUCCUGACUACAGAUUUGCAAAACCACUUGAGCCCCUCUGCCAUUUUGAUCCAUUUUGGAAUAUUGCAUAUGUAGAAUUGCACGACCCAGCUACAAUUCUAGGUCCUGCAUUCCCAACACUUUACCUGAACCACCUCUAAUAGAUUUAACCACUACCUUACUCACCCUCAGAGCUCCGGAAAAGGCAGGAGAGCCAUUGCAUAAACCAGCAGUGUUUCAAAAGGGGGAUGACAAAUAUUAGGCCAAACUCUUGUCAGACCCUGUAAUGUUGAUGGGCCCAUUGGUGCCCACCUAUCAUGCACUGGCCCUUUUCCCCAUGACCACCUCUAAUUUUCCAUACCCUAAAAACAUUGGUCAGAUAUUGAUUUCCCUGUGCCUGAGAAGCAAAUGCUAGUGCAGCAAGCUUAUUCCUAACUGAGGCUGGGGCCAAACCUUUCCCAUGUAAGUAUGCAUAGAAUUGGAGGAUGUGAUCAACUGUAAUGGGACAAGCAUUGCCAAGCCAAUAACCAAAUCUAAAACUUUUAGACUCUUCACUAGCCUUAUGAUAACCCAGUCUAUUUCUACUAGCUAAAGCUAUACCGAUGGCUCAGUUAACUUCAUCCUGGCAAGGCUCCACAGAUUGUAAGGCAUCACUGUAGGUGACCCCACAGCCCCCAGAGCAAAUUUCCUGAGCAGUCCAUUUGUUGGAGAGAGAGAGCAUCAGCUACACCAUUGUCAGCUUUGGCUAUGUGGAAUGCAGUGAGCAAGACGUUAAAUCAGAGGCAUUGUGAUACAAAUCUUUGGACCAAAUUAAUUGUCCUUGAUUAAUGAGAGGUCAUAGAAUUGAUGACUUGGACAGUGGCAGGAUUAUCACACCAAAUUUGAGCAGUACUGAUGGAAAAAUCCUUAGCCCAUAACCAUACCAAUACUACUAUUGUGAAAAAUUCCCAAAAGGUUAUGUCAAGUAACACUCCAGUGGCAGUCCACCAAGUGCCCUUUAAAACAGAUGCCAAAAGCAAUGAACCCAGCCACAUCAGACGCAACUUGUAAGGCUCCCAGUCUGAACUCCUCCCUCCUAAAGAAGACUCAAUUAAAGGAGCCUAGGAAUUCAUUCAAUGUUAAUAAGUUCACACCACAGGCAGAGUUGCGUAAGUGACUGAAGAAGGCUAUACCUGGAGGUACCACCCAACAAGCAAAGUUAAGGUGGCCAUUUGCCUCCUGGAACUCCUUGGGUGUAGUCUUCCUGUUUCCCAGGAAAUGUUCCGACUUACAAUUAAGAUACUCAAGCUUGUCAGCCAGCAAGCAACAACUUUGGGUACCGUGUCUAUUUCAAUACCAAAAAUUGUAAAUACUGUAGCUGGACCCUCCAUUUUUUUCCUAUGCUACUGGCACUCCCAACUCUUCAGCCAUUACCUGGAAUUGCGCAUCAAAUCCCAGCAUUGCUUUGUGCCAGCCUCACCAAUGAAGAGAAAGUCAUCUAGUUUUUUUUUACAACAAUAACAUUUUAUUAUGGUCCAAAGACCCUUAUUGCACUGUAGGCAUGCAGUCAUCUAAAUGAUGCACCAUUCUAUUCCAGCCGGUUCUGCUUUUGAUGGUCCGUUCCAAAGAAGAACAUAACUGCUCAAAAUCAUUACAAGACAUAAAGCAUCCCACUGGCAAGGCUCUGUCUAUAUAGAAGGCACCAUCAAGGCAAGACCCUAACAACUCAAAGUCUCAUGGAUGCACAGGGAGUAGCUGAAAAGCUGACUUUAUAUUACAUUUGGCAAGCUCUGCACCCAGGCUUUUCUUGCAAACUUGUAAAUUUGCCUCAUCAUCAAAAGAAGUAUACCCAACAGAACAAAACUUGGCCCUCACAGUCAAAGAGAUGGUGAAUGAGGAAAAAGAUUCAUCUGGGGGCCUUUUUGGAACUAUCCCCACUGGGGAGACCCUUAGAUUUGGGUUGGAUGGGGAUGCAAAGGGGCCAACAACAUGCCCUUCCCACACGUCCUUUUCAAUAUUUUGUUGUAUGAUGUCCUCCAUCCCGACAACUGAAUUAAGGACAAAAAUUGUCUCCUAAACCUUUGAAAAAGUAUGAGAAAACCCACAGAAAAACCCUUAAAGAUAUAACUGGCUGCUAAACGGUUAGGGUAUUCUACCAGCAAGACUGCCAACAUUUUUAACUUAACGAAUAUGGGACCAUUUUUGAGGAAAUUGUCCUCCCCCUUGGUUCCCCUUGCUAUCUUGGUCUUUCACUCAGAGGUUACCAUGCCCUCUCAUACAAUUCUGAAAGCAAUGGGCCCUCGACACAAGAAGUAUCUGUCAAUGUUAACAUGGCUGCAUAUUGAAUGUUCCCUGUGUCCCAAAAUAAAACCAGCUUUGGACAUCAGAUGCCUUCUGUGCACCCUGUCCCCAUAAACUGGGGAUCCAAAGCCCUGCAACAGGUCUAUCUCACUGCAAAGUUGGAGAUGCUGCUGCUUUCACAUGAAAGGCCUCAUCAUAGGCAAGCCACAUCAGGCCUGCAUAAUCAACAUAAGUCCUCUGAAUGAUAUCUAAAUACUAUGCCAAGGCAUAAGACUUCCAAGGUUGAACCCUAUGAUCCACAUGUAAAUAAUAAAACUCACCAGUCAGUUACACCAUGUCCUGUCAGUCUUCCAUCUUUUAAUUUUUUCCCACUCCUUGUCAUCUAACUUUUUCCAGGCUGCCUUUUCCACCUCCCUGUGUAAGAAGGAGAACAUAUCCAUAAACUCACCUUUUAAUACCUUGUCAGUGGUGUUCAAGGUGAGGUAGCCUCCCAAGUCCAUGCUUAAAUUUCCUGGUGGUAUAGCCUCAUACACUGGUAAGGGGGGAUACUGAGUCCCCAACCCCUUGCUGGUGAAUCACCACCAGUUCACUUCCAGAUAGCUCAGGUGAGUGAACUACAGGGCUUACUUGGCAGUUACACCUUCAACAAAAGGCCCCAUUCCUCAUUGGGGAGCUGGCAACUGUGGAUGAUUAAUAACAGUGCUUCCAUUGUCAACUGCUAGGAGGCCCCCACAAAGAGGUGACUAUGCCGGGGGCUGAUUGGCCAAUGAGAAAAGCAGGUGGGGUAAUCUGAAAGACAGGGACUACUCCCAAAUGUCCCACUGACCUAGAUUCAACAUUGGCAGUAGGGAUAGUACCCCAGGGCCUGGUGGAGGUAUCCUCAGCUGCCUCUGGUGCACCUUGGGCAGGCUGAUUAGACUGCUGCAUGGUGAUGUUUGCUCAUAUCCCCAUCUUGGCUGGCAUGCUGAACUACUCAGGCUGGACCCCCUGGGGACAAUUUUCUACCAUGUAAAUAUGUCUUAUCUGGUAGCCACAUGCUCCCUGAGCCUCUUGAACGAUCUGCUACAUCCCAGUUCACGGAAUGUUACUGCAUACUUUUUUUUAAAAAAAACUUUAAAUUGCUUAAAUGAGUCCUGUUGGCAGAGCUAUUCUUGAACAGAUUAGCUCUUCAUUUUGGGUGAAAAGGUGUCAAAUAGGUGACUGUGCUGCAAUACUUCCAGAUAUUUGGGUCUACAGCUCUCAUAAUCCCUUACCCUUGGUCAAACUACCUGGCAUCCCUAGGAGUUUAAACAAAGACACUUGGAAGCACAAAGUUUUCCUGGGCCUGUAAAAAUAAAAAAUACAUUUGGAACCAAGAAGAUAUGUUGAAACCGAUGGAAUUAUCUUAGGCUACCUAAUUGCAGAAAUUCAGAAUUUUUUUCUGGUGUCAAACCAGGUAAGGAAUGGAAAAAUCAUGGCCAGGAUUUCCCACAGUAUGGCUGGUAUUCUGUUGAUGUUUUAUGCAUGUGUGAGUGUCCUUAUGCAAGCAGGGGAAUAUUUUUGGCCUAUCUAAGAAGUGUAUUUAGUUGAAGAUGACAAAGGUAAAGUUAUUCAAAUGCCACUUCACAUUGUGGAUUAAUUGCAUAGUUGUGAAUAGCAACAUAUAAACUUCCUAAACAAAUAUCAACAAAUACAUUGGAAGGCAGUUGUUAUAGAUCCCCAAAAAUAUGCUUGCAUCCAAUUUUGUCAAUGUUUCAAAGCACCAAAAUUAAUAAACUUUUUUUUUAAAAAAAUGGGUUGUCUCUUGAUACUUAGAAAUGUAUUUAAUCUACCUAAAAUUUGGAUAUAUGCUUACUCAGUCAAGCAGAAAUACAGUUUCUCUAAACACACAUUUAGGAGAUGUUUCUCUUGAAAUGAUCAAACUAACUUCAACUAA